AGUGAACGCUGGCGGUAGGCCUAACACAUGCAAGUCGAACGGCAGCACAGUAAGAGCUUGCUCUUACGGGUGGCGAGUGGCGGACGGGUGAGGAAUACAUCGGGAUCUACUUUUUCGUGGGGGAUAACGUAGGGAAACUUACGCUAAUACCGCAUACGACCUACGGGUGAAAGCAGGGGAUCUUCGGACCUUGCGCGAUUGAAUGAGCCGAUGUCGGAUUAGCUAGUUGGCGGGGUAAAGGCCCACCAAGGCGACGAUCCGUAGCUGGUCUGAGAGGAUGAUCAGCCACACUGGAACUGCGACACGGUCCAGACUCCUACGGGAGGCAGCAGUGGGGAAUAUUGGACAAUGGGCGCAAGCCUGAUCCAGCCAUACCGCGUGGGUGAAGAAGGCCUUCGGGUUGUAAAGCCCUUUUGUUGGGAAAGAACAGCAGCAGGUUAAUACCCCGCUGUUCUGACGGUACCCAAAGAAUAAGCACCGGCUAACUUCGUG
rnacentral:rRNA from 1 species